UCAGGCAUACAUGUGCAGGUUUUUUAAAACUUUAGGUUCAGGAAUACAUGUCCAGGUUUGUUCAGGGGUACCUGUGCAUGUAAACACGUGUCAUGGGAGUUUGUUGUACAGAUUUAGUCCCCAGGCACUAAGCCUAGUACCCCAACAGCUGUUUUUUUCCCGUCCUCUCCCUCCUCCCAGCCUCCACCCUCAAGGAGGCCCCAGUGUGUGUUGUUCCCCCUCUAUGUGUCCAUGUGUUAUCAUUAUUUAGCUUCCAUUUGUGAGAACAUGUGGUGUUUAGUUUUCUGUUCCUGUGUUAGUUUGCUAAGGAUGAUGGCCUCUAGCUCCAUGCAUGUCCCUGCAAAAGACAUGAUCUUGUUCUUUUUUGUGGCUGCAUAGUAUUCUAUGGUGUAUAUGUAAACAAUGUUUUCUUUAUGCAAUCUGUCAUUAAUGGGCAUGAAGGUUGAUUCCAUGUCUUAGCUAUUGUGACUCGAGCUGCAGUGAACAUAUGUGUGCAUGUGUCUUUUGGUAGAAUGAUUUAUAUUCCUUUGGGUAUAUAUACCCAGUAAUGGGAUUGCUGGCUUGAAUGGUAGUUCUGUUUUUAACUCUUUGAGGAAUCGCCACACUGUCUUCCACAGUGACUGAACUAAUUUACACUCCCACCAACAGUGUGUAAGCAUUCCCUUUUCUCAGCAACCUUAUCAGCAUCCGUUAUUUUUUUUGGCUUUGUCGUAAUCAAGGGCUGUUUUAAAGAGCUCUGGAAGCAGCUUCCUUUCUGCCACCAGCUGACCCUAGGUGUGGUGGGAAGGGGGUCCCAACAGCACCCUGCAUGCCACUGUGGUGUGUUCUGGGGCACAGGUCACAGUGGGCCUUGGCUGGCUGCUGUGGACUCCGGUCCAGAUGUCACCUCCCUGGAAUGCUAGAAGGCAGGUAAAGCUCAGCCCUAACUGGAAAGGGCAUGGCCAGAAGUGACUGCGCCCUGUCUGGUUUGCCUGCCUGUCUGGAGUUUGUUUGGGUUUUUUUGUUUUUGUUUUUGUUUUUUUUCAGAUGGAGUUUCACUCUUGUUGCCCAGGCUGCAGUGCAAUGAUGCGAUCUUGGCUCACCGCAACCCCCACCCCCUGGGGUUCAAGUAACUCUCGUGCCUCAGCCUCCCAAGUAGCUGGGAUUACAGGUAUGUGCAACCAUGUCUGGCUAAUUUUUGUAUUAUUAUGAGAGAUGGGUUUUCUCCAUGUUGUUCAGGCUGGUCUCGAACGCCCAACCUCAGGUGGAUCACCUGAGGUCAGGAGUUCGAGACCAGCCUGACCAACAUGGUGAAACCCCAUCUCUAAUAAAAAUACAAAAAUUAGCCAGGCGUGGUGCUGCACACCUGUAAUCCCAGCUACUCAGGAGGCUGAGACAGGAGAAUCACUUGAACCCAGGAGGCAGAGGUUGCAGUGAGCUGAGAUUGUGCCACUGCACUCCAGCCUGGGCAACACAGUGAGACUCCAUCUCAAAAAAUAAAUAAAUAAUUAAAAGACUUGGAGGUUCGAAGCUGACACUGCUGCUGGCCCUCAGGGUGCUGGUCUCAGCUGUUGUGGGGAAAUUAGCCCCUUGGGAGGUGGCAGGCUCAGGACGGGUGGCCACACCCAGGGAGCUCUGCCAGGAACUUAGCAGCUCCCGGGGGGAGGGGUGAAGAUGGCCGUUGGAGGCUGAGGGGACACUGGCUGCUGGAACAAAUGACCCCCUGCAUCUCAGCAGAACAGCAGUCCGAGGCAGUCCGGACUGCCCAGCAGUCCGAGGCAGACGUGCUUGGGCAACGGCGACCUGUCCGUAGAGACCUGGAUCUCUCCAUCUUGUGUCUUUGCCAUCCCCCAGGCUCCUGGACCUACUCCUUCUCCAGCUGGAGAGUGGAGGGAAGGCUCAGUCACGUCUGCCUCAGAAACGACACUCAGCACAUCUGCCGACAUUCCUCUGGCAAGAACUAGUCACUUGGCCUUGGCCUUGCCUGUAAGCAAGCGAAGGGGGAAAUGUCGUUCCCGGCAGGGCUGUUGCUGGACAGGGCUGUCUCCCAGGCACCACCCCACACUCGGAGGUGCGCACACAUUUUUGGUGAGCACACAGCCUUCUCUACAGUAGCAGCGUCAAGGCCCAGAGGGAAGCGGGUGACUGUGAGGAAGGGCUGCUCGCUGAGGGCCACCUGCUGGAGAACAAAGACAAGGGUGAACCUGCAGUUCCCACUCAUGGGAAGAUAUGUCAGCCGCACACAUGAGCUGAGGCUGGGGCCAGAGCGUGGCCCCUUGCACAUGAGAUGUUCUCGGACCAUGCCUUCUCAGCUGGUGCCUUCGUCCUCGAGAGUGGACUUAGAGCCAGGAGCCCUGGUGGGGAGCAGUGGGUAACAAAAGAGUGACGAGACAGGUAGUUAGAGCAGAGUCAAAUGUGGCGGUCCUUUCAGGCCAGGGCAUCCCAGAGGUCAGUGUGUCCUUGGCAGUAGCUCCUCAGUCCUCUCUUAGAGACAGCUGGGCUCGUGGGCAAGUGACCUGCGGUUCUCAUAAAGGGGUCAUCCUGUAUUGUCUUCCCUGGCCAGUGGCUUGGAAAUGGUCACCCACAAAUCCACUGAAAAAGAAAGGCAUGUGUGAAUAGAUGAAGUUGAUGCUGGAUUUGAAUUACGAGAUUGAUUGGGAUGACGAAAACCUUGGAAAUCCGGAUGAGUGGUUUGAAUUUUAAUCCUUCAGCAUGUUUCACAAGUGAGGAAAGCAAAUGACUAAUAUUUUAUUUUCCAGAAUCAAUCUUUCUAUGUCUGUUUGGUUCCUUGGAUAUUCAUUCAAAAGACAUCAUUUUAGAUGUCGUGAAACAAAAACCAUUUAUAACCCCAGUAGGAAGUGAUUGAGGCAUGAGUAAGACCCAGUGAGGGGAGGACCAAUGAAAGAGACUUUUUCUGAAAACAAAAGAAAAGUGAUUUAAAUAAAAGAAUAUUUGCUUAGUGACAUGGAUAGCUCCUAGAUAGUUGUCCUUGGGAGAAAAAAUUAAAGUUUAAGUGCACAGCCUAAUCAAUUGUAUCUUUUCCCCCCUUCUAUAUACCACUCCCCACACAUGUCUACUCAGCCAAAAAUGAUAUAAUAUGUAAAACCAGAAAUCCGAGUGGGAGAAACACUUAAUAAUGAUAAUUAAAUGGGUAAACAUGUGUUCUGCCAAAAGUUUAGCAAUGUUGUAAUCACAUGAGUAAGAGUUUCUCAGAGAUACUCAAUGUGAAGCUUCUUGGUGCAUAAGGAAAUUCAGUGAACUUUCAACUGGAGCAGUGUGAGUCAAAGGCGGGAAUGCACUCCUCCGGCUUUAUUCAGAAACCCUCAGGAUGGACUGAAAGGGGGAUGGAAAGGGAGAAAUGGAAGGGGAAAAAAGGGGAGCCUUCUAAUGGAUCUAAUGUGACCAGCCAAAAAAAAAAAAAA
rnacentral:lncRNA from 1 species